AAGGGGGUGCCGUCCGGAUUCGGACGGCUGAGAUUAUACCCUGUGAACCUGACGCAGGUAAUGCUGCCGUAGGGAUUGGCA
rnacentral:ncRNA from 1 species